CCCUGUUCCCGCCUCCCCAGUUAAGGCCGCUGGUGUGAGCCGAGGCUCAGCGCGAGCGAGGGACGACGGAAGGGACCGAUAGGUGUGGGCGCGGGGCCGCGCAGCCCGACGGCGGGAGUAGCAAGCACUCGGUGCAUGGGCCAGUGAAGACGCGCAGAGAUCCCUUUGCAGCGGCGGAGGCGGAGCAGCGCGGGAGCUAGGCGCUGCCCGGCGACCCUGCGUCCAAGCGAGCGAAACCUCGCGCUUCGCCCGGGGACGGUCCGAAGUCCGCGCUAUGGAAGAGGAGAAAUAUUUGCCUGAGCUGAUGGCAGAGAAAGAUAGCCUGGAUCCAUCUUUUGUGCAUGCAUCGCGCCUUUUGGCUGAAGAAAUUGAAAAAUUUCAAGGUUCUGAUGGAAAAAAGGAAGAUGAAGAAAAGAAAUAUCUUGAUGUCAUCAGCAACAAAAACAUAAAGCUCUCAGAAAGAGUAUUGAUUCCUGUCAAGCAAUAUCCAAAGUUCAAUUUUGUGGGGAAAUUGCUUGGACCAAGAGGAAACUCCUUGAAGAGGCUACAAGAAGAAACAGGUGCUAAAAUGUCUAUCCUGGGCAAAGGAUCGAUGAGAGAUAAAGCAAAGGAAGAAGAAUUAAGGAAGAGUGGGGAAGCCAAAUAUGCCCACUUGAGUGAUGAACUUCAUGUAUUAAUUGAAGUGUUUGCUCCUCCUGGGGAAGCUUAUUCACGUAUGAGUCAUGCAUUGGAAGAGAUUAAAAAAUUCCUGGUUCCCGACUACAAUGAUGAAAUUCGUCAGGAACAGUUACGUGAAUUAUCUUAUUUAAAUGGCUCAGAAGACUCUGGUCGUGGCAGAGGUAUCAGAGGCAGAGGGAUUCGAAUAGCUCCCACAGCUCCUUCAAGGGGCCGCGGGGGUGCCAUUCCUCCUCCCCCACCACCUGGACGAGGUGUUCUCACACCUCGUGGGACCACCGUGACCCGCGGAGCUCUUCCUGUGCCCCCGGUAGCAAGAGGCGUCCCCGCCCCUCGAGCCAGGGGGGCACCAACAGUGCCAGGAUACAGAGCACCCCCUCCUCCAGCCCAUGAGGCUUAUGAAGAAUAUGGGUAUGAUGAUGGCUAUGGGGGUGAAUACGAUGACCAGACCUAUGAGGCUUAUGAUAACAGCUAUGCCACUCAAACGCAAAGUGUGCCUGAAUACUAUGACUACGGUCAUGGAGUAAGUGAGGAUGCCUAUGACAGCUACGCACCAGAAGAAUGGGCCACAACCCGCUCCAGCUUAAAGGCACCACCGCCAAGGUCAGCCAGAGGGGGAUACAGGGAACACCCCUAUGGUAGAUAUUGAAGGUCCUCCUCACCUGUGACCUCACCUCAAAAGACAAUUCAUAGCCUGUGGUCUCCACAUAAACAGCAACAAGACAAGUACCCACAAGCAAGGAACACAUAAUUGAAUAGCAGAUGUGAUGGGCUAACAAGGAUGUGGAGACAGGUAUAGAAAACUUCAUUAGGAGCCUAAACAGAAAUGCUUAAGUGGAUGAAGCAGCUCUUUGCAUCAGAUGGAAGCUAAGCGGGAUAUUAAAUUAAUGUCAAACAAGUGAGAAACUCUUUUGCUUUUCUUUUACAUUGUAGCAAUUUAGCAGUAAUGUACUGAUUCUCAUAUAUACAUGAUUCUUGUGUCUAAUGUCACCAGAAUUUAAGGCCAUAAAGGAAAUCCCAAACAAAAAUCAACCAAUAAGGAAAUAUAUUUUGCUGAAAGAAUGGGGUAAAUGUCCAAACUAUUUCUGAUGAUAAGAAGAGUGAGGACCAAAAGUUCAUGGGAAGAAGAAAGAUCAAGCACCAUGCAUGAUGUAUCUUUAUAGAGCCUUUACAGAGCUAUUGUAGUCAUCUUUCCACGUUUUGCCUUUUGUAAUAGAGGAGAGUUCAGUUUUGUAGAAGAGGGCUGGUAUAUUUGGGGCAUCCAAUAAAUGUUUGUGAAACAACCAGAGCUGAAAUGGAACACAGUGGAGCAGAACAUGGUACCACAGAACCAUGAAUAUUCAUUCCCUCCUGAAAUUCUAAUUUGUUUUGCAACAAAAGAAGAUAUAAAUGUAUAGCUAAACAGAUGGUCAGUGACGUUGAUGAUUCAAAGGGGAUGUUUCUAUUUUCUUCUUUCUGUGCCCUUGUAUUAAAAAAUAACAUCUAAAGAAUACAGGUAAGGGGGUAUAUAUUUGUUUAAUGAGACAAGAAAUUGUGUAAGAUAUUUCAGAAAAUUUUUCCUAAAGUCCUUAAAUUUUUCUGAACAUUAAAUUGCAAUUCCCAGGAUCAAACCUUCAGAAAAAACUUAGGAAAGAUUUGAGAUAAGUGAAAAUAGGUUAUAAAUAAUGUAAAAACAAUAUCCCUUCUUCUAUUUUAUGUCUGAGAAGUUUGGAAGAAGUCAGCACCUUACUUUUGUGCUCACCUUGAGUCUGACCCAGAUUUAACAUCUUUCCAGACUCUUUCCAAGGAGGAUUAUUCUGUACAAUAUUGUACUUUGUUAG